CCUCCUUCCCGCUCUCCAACCUGUAGUUCUCUUCCUGCAGCUCCUCCACCUGCGCCUGCAGCAGUUGCAGCUUCUUGGAUGCAGCGCCUGCAGCGUCGGCUUCCAGCUGGGCUUUCUCCUCCCGCAGCGCUCUGUUCUCCUCAGCCAGGCUGCCCUUCUCCUCCAGCAGCACCGCCACCUGCUGCUCCAGCUCCAGGCAGCGCUGCUGCGGCCCCACAGCGUCC
rnacentral:lncRNA from 1 species